rnacentral:rRNA from 1 species
UACGUAGGGUGCAAGCGUUGUCCGGAAUUAUUGGGCGUAAAGAGCUCGUAGGCGGCUCGUUGCGUCAACCGUGAAAACCCGGGGCUUAACUUCGGGCUUGCGGUCGAUACGGGCAUCACUGGAGUUCGGCAGGGGAGACUGGAAUUCCUGGUGUAGCGGUGAAAUGCGCAGAUAUCAGGAGGAACACCGGUGGCGAAGGCGGGUCUCUGGGCCGAUACUGACGCUGAGGAGCGAAAGCGUGGGGAGCGAACAGG